GACGAACGCUGGCGGCGUGCUUAACACAUGCAAGUCGAGCGGUAAGGCUCCUUCGGGAGUACACGAGCGGCGAACGGGUGAGUAACACGUGAGUAAUCUGCCCCUCACUUCGGGAUAAGCCUCGGAAACGAGGUCUAAUACCGGAUACGACCACUUCUCGCAUGAGAUGGUGGUGGAAAGUUUUUCGGUGGGGGAUGUGCUCGCGGCCUAUCAGCUUGUUGGUGGGGUAAUGGCCUACCAAGGCUUCGACGGGUAGCCGGCCUGAGAGGGUGACCGGCCACACUGGGACUGAGACACGGCCCAGACUCCUACGGGAGGCAGCAGUGGGGAAUAUUGGACAAUGGGCGAAAGCCUGAUCCAGCAACGCCGCGUGAGGGAUGACGGCCUUCGGGUUGUAAACCUCUUUCAGCGGGGACGAAGCGCAAGUGACGGUACCCGCAGAAGAAGCACCGGCCAACUACGUGCCAGCAGCCGCGGUAA
rnacentral:rRNA from 1 species